rnacentral:rRNA from 1 species
AUUGAACGCUGGCGGCAGGCCUAACACAUGCACGUCGAACGAGAGGCGGACGGGUGACUAAUGUCUGGGAAACUGCCUGAUGGAGGGGGAUAACUACUGGAAACGGUAGCUACUACCGCAUACCAUAGGCUGUGCCCAGGUGGGAUUAGCGAGUGGGUGGGGUAAAGGCUCACCUAGGCGACGAUCCCUACCGGGUCUGAGAGGAUGACAAGCCACACGGGAACUGAGACAAGGGCCAGACUCCUACGGGAGGCAGCAGUGGGGAAUAUUGCACAAUGGGCGAAAGCCUGAUGCAGCCAGGCCGCGGGUAUGAAGAAGGCCUUCGGAUUGUAAAGUACUUUCAGCUGGGAGGCGUUAACAGCAGAAGAAGCACCGGCUAACUCAGUGCCAGCAGCAGCGGUAAUUC